GAUGAAAGUCUUUGUCGAUUUCUUGAUUUUGCUCUGUGCAGUUUUAAACGUUACUUCUCAACAAUUUUCUUCUAAUGUUAUAUUUACACAUUAUAACCCCCAGCAGAAGGAACAAGUUGUUGGAAAAUGGAACUCGGAAAAACAAGGCUGUUUUAAUGCGGCAGAAGCUAACAACGAGUUCUUAUUUCCCUGCAAUCUUAUGGACAAUAUUGUAAAUGAUUUGUCUGCUCAAAUUUCGACAAACAACAAUUUUUCUCCUAAGUUAAAUCCAAAUAACUUACAUUUGAAAGGAUUUGAUUUCAUACUUCAUCCUUAUGUAAUUAAAUAGUUACCAAAUCACUUUAAUUGAAAAUAAACAAGCGGAUUUAAUGCCCUAUUAAAUUUUCAA